rnacentral:rRNA from 1 species
UACGUAGGGUGCAAGCGUUGUCCGGAAUUAUUGGGCGUAAAGAGCUCGUAGGCGGCUUGUCGCGUCGGCUGUGAAAACCUGGGGCUCAACCCCGGGCCUGCAGCCGAUACGGGCAAGCUAGAAUUCGGUAGGGGAGACUGGAAUUCCAGGUGUAGCGGUGAAAUGCGUAGAUAUCUGGAGGAACACCGGUGGCGAAGGCGGCAUCCUGGACCGGCAUUGACGCUGAUGAGCGAAAGCCAGGGGAGCAAACGGG